rnacentral:misc_RNA from 1 species
UCUCUCUUUCUCUUCUUUAAUUUCUUUCCUCUCCAUUAAAACCACUUCACUUUCUCUGAAUAUUUUUUUAUCUUCAACUUCUUUUAUUUUUUCAACCAAGCAUUCAAACUAGAAUGAAGCUAUCUGACUGGUUGUUCAAUCGGGAGAAGAAAAAAUUGCAAACUAAAAUCAUUAAUAAUUAGGCAAAACUUAGUUUACCACAUCCUUUCAUUAUAUCUUCAAAACGUGUUGUAGCUUCUUUUUUAAUUCCAUUUUCUAGUUUUGAUGACAUAGACUAAGUAUCCAAAACAAUCUGAAAAUGUGCAAGUCUUAGGUUUGAGGAAAAGGAAGAAGAAGCAAAUUGAUCAUGGUGCAGAGGCAUGAAAAAGAACUUUGCUAUAUCAGCGAGCAGCAACAACGUCUAAUGCUUCUUUUCGUGGAGAAGUAAAGUUAUUCAUUAAGGGUAUGCUUGAAUCUUCUUUCAAUAGUUUUGCCUAGAACAUCGGCAAAAGAUUGGCGAAAACGAAAGGAGGAUGUAUCUAAAAUCAAGGGAAUGAUUGCUACAUGUGGGGUUACAAGAGAAACGACUUCGACACCGUCCCAACUACUAAAAGUGCAGCAUAAUUCUUUGGUACGUAAAAAGUAGCUUUGUCCUAUGUUACCUUUGUGUGUUCUUGUUUUCUUUUCUUUGUAUUUGAUCCUAUCACUUCCAAAUCUGAUAUGUAUCUGCAUGUAUAAUUUUUUUAAUCGGCAAUGUAUCUACAUGUAGGUAUUUUUAAGAAAGUGUAUAACACUGCUGUAAACUUACGUAUUUGUAAUUAAAUGUGUUUUUUAACCGUUAUAA